UAGUAUGGUCAUGUUGGGGUGGGCAGUCUAUGUGUGUUUUUCUAUGUUGGUUUUUGUGUUCAGCCUAGUAUGGUUCUCAAUCAGAGGCAGGUGUCGUUAGUUGUCUCUGAUUGAGAAUCAUACUUAGGUAGCCUGGGUUUCACUGUGUGUUUGUGGGUGUUUGUUUUCCGUGUCAGUGUUUGUCGCCACACGGUUCGGUUUCGGUUCAUGUUCACGUUUAUUGUUUUGUAUUUUCAUAGUGUUCAGUUUAUAUCUUAUAAUAAACGUUAUGGACACCUGCCACGCUGCGCAUUGGUCCUCCGAUCCUUCUUCUCGCUUCUCCUCCUCAGACGAGGAAUGUGGUUACAGGUGAAGUGAAAUUAAAAACUUUUUUUUUUUUAAACAUUCUAAAAAAUAAGAAACUGAAAAGUGGUGCGUGUAUAUGUGUUCACAUGAAGCCCCUAAAUAAGAUCUGGUGCAACCAAUUACCUUCAGAAGUCACAUCAUUAAAUUAAAUAAAGUCCACCUGUGUGCAAUCUCAGUCACAUAAUCUCAGUGUAUAUAUACACCUGUUCUGAAAGGCCCCAGAGUCUGCAACACCAGUAAGCAAGGGGCACCACCAAGCAAGCAGCACCAUGAAGACCAAGGAGCUCUCCAAACAGGUCAGAGACAAAGUUUUGGAGAAGUACAGAUCAGAGUUGGGUUAUAAAAAAACAUCUGAUACUUUGAUCAUCCCACAGAGCACCAUUAAAUCCAUUAUUAACAAAUGGAAAGAAUAUGGCACCACAACAAACCUGCUAAGAGAGGGCUGCCCACCAAAACUCACGGACCAGGCAAGAAGGUCAUUAAUCAGAGAGGCAACAAAGAGACCAAAGAUAACCCUGAAGGAGCUGCAAAGCUCCACAGCGGAGAUUGGAACAUCUGUCCAUAGGACCACUUUAAGCAGUACACUCCACAAAGCUGGGCUUUAUGGAAGAGUGGUCAGAAAAAAGCCAUUGCUUAAAUAAAAAAAUACCCAAACACGUUUGGUGUUCGCCAAAAUUCAUGUGGGAGACUCCCCAAACAUAUGGAAGAAUGUACUCUGGUCAGAUGAGACUAAAAUUGAGCAUUUUGGCCAUAAAGGAAAACACUAUGUCUGGCGCAAACACAACACCUCUCAUCACCCGAGAAGACCAUCCCCACAGUGAAGCAUGGUGGUGGCAGCAUCAUGCUGUGGGGAUGUUUUUCAUCUGCAGGGAAACUGGUCAAAAUUUAAGAAAUGAUGGAUGGUGCUAAAUACAGGGACAUUCUUGAGGGAAACCUGUUUCAGUGUUCCAGAGAUAUGAGACUGGGACGGAGGUUCACCUUCCAGCAGGACAAUGACCCUAAUCAUACUGCUAAAGCAACACUCGAGUGGUUUAUGGGGAAACAUGUAAAUGUCUUGGAAUGGCCUCGUCAAAGCCCAGACCUCAAUCCAAUUGAGAAUCUGUGGUAUGACUUAAAGAUUGCUGUACACCAGCGUAACCCAUCCAACUUGAAGGAGCUGGAGCAGUAUCACCUUGAAUAAUGGGCAACAAUCCCAGUGGCUAGAUGUGCCAAGCUUAUAGAGACAUACCCCAAGAGACUUGCAGCUGUAAUUGCUGAGAAAGGUGGCUCUACAAAGUAUUGAUUUUGGGGGGGUGAAUAGUUAUGCAUGCUGAGGUUUUCAGUUUUUUUGCCUUAUUUCUUGUUUGUUUCACAACAAAACAUUAUUUGCAUCUUCAAAGUGGUAGGCAUGUUGUGUAAAUCAAAUGAUACAACCCCCAAAAAUCAAUUUUAUUUCCAGGUUGUAAGGCAACAAAAUAGGAACAAUGCCAAGAGGGGUGAAUACUUUCACAAGCCACUGUAUAUGUGGAAUAGGGUGUCAUGUGACACAGACAUUGAUGAGGUAGGUAGAGUUAUGUAGACAGGGUGAUGAGGUAGGUAGAGUUAUGUAGACAGGGUGAUGAGGUAGGUAGAGUUAUGUAGACAGGGUGAUGAGGUAGGUAGAGUUAUGUAGACAGGGUGAUGAGGUAGGUAGAGUUAUGUAGACAGGGUGAUGAGGUAGAUAGAGUUAUGUAGACAGUGUGAUGAGGUAGAUAGUAGAUUUAUGUAGACAGGGUGAUGAGGUAGAUCGAUUUAUGUAGACAGUGUGAUGAGGUAGAUAGUAGAUUUAUGUAGACAGGGUGAUGAGGUAGAUAGUAGAUUUAUGUAGACAGGGUGAUGAGGUAGAUAGUAGAUUUAUGUAGACAGGGUGAUGAGGUAGAUAGUAGAUUUAUGUAGACAGGGUGAUGAGGUAGAUAGAUUUAUGUAGAGAGGGUGAUGAGGUAGAUAGUAGAUUUAUGUAGAGAGGGUGAUGAGGUAGAUAGUAGAUUUAUGUAGAGAGGGUGAUGAGGUAGGUAGAGUUAUGUAGAGAGGGUGAUGAGGUAGGUAGAGUUAUGUAGAGAGGGUGAUGAGGUAGGUAGAGUUAUGUAGAGAGGGUGAUGAGGUAGGUAGAGUUAUGUAGAGAGGGUGAUGAGGUAGGUAGAGUUAUGUAGAGAGGGUGAUGAGGUAGGUAGAGUUAUGUAGAGAGGGUGAUGAGGUAGAUAGAGUUAUGUAGACAGGGUGAUGAGGUAGAUAGAGUUAUGUAGACAGGGUGAUGAGGUAGAUAGAGUUAUGUAGAGAGGGUGAUGAGGUAGGUAGAGUUAUGUAGACAGGGUGAUGAGGUAGGUAGAGUUAUGUAGACAGGGUGAUGAGGUAGAUAGAGUUAUGUAGAGAGGGUGAUGAGGUAGGUAGAGUUAUGUAGAGAGGGUGAUGAGGUAGAUAGAGUUAUGUAGAGAGGGUGAUGAGGUAGAUAGAGUUAUGUAGACAGGGUGAUGAGGUAGGUAGAGUUAUGUAGACAGGGUGAUGAGGUAGGUAGAGUUAUGUAGACAGGGUGAUGAGGUAGAUAGAGUUAUGUAGAGAGGGUGAUGAGGUAGGUAGAGUUAUGUAGACAGGGUGAUGAGGUAGAUAGAGUUAUGUAGAGAGGGUGAUGAGGUAGAUAGAGUUAUGUAGACAGGGUGAUGAGGUAGGUAGAGUUAUGUAGACAGGGUGAUGAGGUAGAUAGAGUUAUGUAGACAGGGUGAUGAGGUAGAUAGAGUUAUGUAGACAGGGUGAUGAGGUAGGUAGAGUUAUGUAGAGAGGGUGGCAGGGGAACAGUGGUUUAAGUCUCAAAUGACAGCCUAUUCCUAAUGUAGUUCAGGCUCUGGUCAAAAGUAGUGCCCUACAUUAGAGAUUCAAUCCAAUGUUGAUGUGGAAGGAAGGAGCAAUGUGGCGAUGGAGAGGGUGCUAAAAGAGGAAACCAGACAGCUCCUCCUCUUCCUGUUCAUCACAGAGGAUGCGUUCCACAUGGCAAUACAUCCCCUACAUCCCCUAUGUAAGUCCAACAAUCCCCUAUGUAAUGUACUCAUUUCAAAAAGGCCUCAUUGCGUUUUAGGACCCUUGAAGAAGUAUAUGGAAGGACUGAGGUAAAAAAUAAUUAAUGAAGAGUCCUAAGAAACCUGAUCAGAUCAUCAGAACAGUAUUGACAUUCCAGCCACACAACAAAAUAUAUAUUCAGUACAUUUAGUAUAAAAACAAUAUAUACACAAAUAUUAUAUUUGACCUUGUGAACUGUGAUAGAAAGGGGUUGUUUUUUGGGGGAGGGAAGGUAUUUUUUUAUUUAACCUUUUAUUUAACUAGGCAAGUCAGUUAAGAACAAAUUCUUAUUUUCAAUGACGGCCUAGGAACAGUGGGUUAACUGGUCUAGGAACAGUGGGUUAACUGGUCUAGGAACAGUGGGUUAACUGGUCUAGGAACAGUGGGUUAACUGGUCUAGGAACAGGGGGUUAACUGGUCUAGGAACAGAGGGUUAACUGGUCUAGGAACAGGGGUUAACUGGUCUAGGAACAGGGGGUUAACUGGUCUAGGAACAGGGGGUUAACUGG